rnacentral:rRNA from 1 species
UACGGGGGGGGCAAGCGUUGUUCGGAAUUACUGGGCGUAAAGGGCUCGUAGGUGGCCAACUAAGUCAGACGUGAAAUCCCUCGGCUUAACCGGGGAACUGCGUCUGAUACUGGAUGGCUUGAGUUUGGGAGAGGGACGCGGAAUUCCAGGUGUAGCGGUGAAAUGCGUAGAUAUCUGGAGGAACACCGGUGGCGAAGGCGG